rnacentral:rRNA from 1 species
CUACGGGUGGCAGCAGUGAGGAAUAUUGCACAAUGGGGGGAACCCUGAUGCAGCAACGCCGCGUGGAGGAUGACGCAUUUCGGUGUGUAAACUCCUUUUAUAUGUCGAGAAAAUGACGGUAGCAUAUGAAUAAGCACCGGCUAACUCCGUGCCAGCAGCCGCGGUAAUACGGAGGGUGCAAGCGUUACUCGGAAUCACUGGGCGUAAAGGACGCGUAGGCGGGUUGGAAAGUCAGGUGUGAAAUCCUACAGCUUAACUGUAGAACUGCACUUGAAACUUCUAAUCUAGAGUAUGGGAGGGGGAGAUGGAAUUAGUGGUGUAGGGGUAAAAUCCGUAGAUAUCACUAGGAAUACCUAAAGCGAAGGCGAUCUCCUGGAACAUUACUGACGCUAAGGCGUGAAAGCGUGGGGAGCAAACAGGAUUAGAUACCCCUGUAGUC